CUGUCUCUUUCCCCGUUUUGCUCAACGUCAGCGGCGGAUUUUGCGACGGAAACAGACGGUGGAAGAAGGACGAACAUUGAGAUUUCGUUGCCUUUGUACGGCAGUUCUAGCACGUGCGCGCCAAGUACUUCGGAAACGACUGCGGGCAAAAGAAUAUAAGUCGGAAUUAUUCGUCUUGUAGAAACGCACUUACAACAUUUGAACUGCAAUAUAAGAUCAAGUGGUCAGAUUUUCGAUAUGAAAGUUUAUAACCUACAAUGUCUUGUCCCAUUUUACUUACAAAAUAUAUACAAUAUACUCGA